CUGAGACAACAGCCCACAGGACGUCCUUGGAAGCUGAGAAAGCGCUUGAAAAGGGUUGGGAAAGAUUCCGCAGGACUAAAGGCUAUUCACCUGAAAGAAACCUCCAAGGGCACGAGCCUGACCUUUUACAUCCAGCAUGUUUAUCGCACGCCACCCUUGUGGGGGUCACUCUGAGGCGAAGUGAUGAAAUGCUUCCUUCCCAAGCCCAGACGACCCCACAUGCUGAGGGGGACUGGCUUGUUGAUAACCACCCAUCAUGCCAUGGGCCGUGAGGGGCUGGAGUGGGAGGUUGAGCCUGUGGAGGAUCAGAGACUUGGUGCCAAUGCCGGAGUAAGAAUAGGACCAACACAGAAUGAACCAGCCAAGAGUCAUCACACUCGCAAGAGCACUUCACUGUGGAUUACCAUGCCAAGCUUGUUUCAGAACUGAUGAAGCAAAGGCUCAGAGAGGUUGAGUCACUUGUCCAGGGACGCACAGCAAGUGAGGAAGUCAAGGUUCAAAUCCAGCAGAUGAAGUGAAGAAGUAGCUAAGUUAUAUCAGGAUGACGUGACAGGCACGUUGCCAGGCUUUGGAAGACCUUGGGCUGAUGGUCCCAAGCAAGAACAGUAGAUAUUGCUUGUCCAGAUGAACUAGCCCUUCAGCCAGGACUGCUUCUCAGGAUUGGAUUGUUUCAGAGCAAGAGAUCGGAACUCGCCUCAAUGGGCAGUAGAGACGUCUUUUGUUGGUGAACUGUCAUCAUUCUAGCAUCUUUGGGAACUUGUAUGCAGCUUGCAGCUUGCAGUAUCAGAAGACGUCCUAACUCCCAACAACAACAACAGCGGCAUUCUUGGGAUCUAGCGAGCAGUGGUGGGAGACGCCUGAGUGUCUCUCAGCUACAGACCUGACAAGGUUUUGAUUUAUGACAUUUCAUUGCUGUUCCCCCCCCCGAUCCCCCACCCGCCCCCAGUAUGGUGAGCUUUUGGCAUGUACUGUAAUACUUACUAUCCUAUAAAGCAUGUUACUGCUUUUGGAUACUCCUCACUGAUGUUAUUUGUGUA